rnacentral:rRNA from 1 species
UACGAAGGGGGCUAGCGUUGUUCGGAAUCACUGGGCGUAAAGGGCGCGUAGGCGGCCGUUCAAGUCGGGGGUGAAAGCCUGUGGCUCAACCACAGAAUUGCCUUCGAUACUGGACGGCUCGAGACCGGAAGAGGUCAGUGGAACUGCGAGUGUAGAGGUGAAAUUCGUAGAUAUUCGCAAGAACACCCGUGGCUAAGGCGGCUCUCUAGUACGGUACUGACGCUGAGACGCGAAAGCGUGGGGAGCGAACAGG